UACGUAGGGAGCAAGCGUUGUCCGGAAUCAUUGGGCGUAAAGCGCGCGUAGGCGGCCCUGUAAGUCCGUUGUGAAAGUCAAAGGCUCAACCUUUGAAAGCCGAUGGAUACUGCAGGGCUAGAGUCCGGAAGAGGCGAGUGGAAUUCCUGGUGUAGCGGUGAAAUGCGCAGAUAUCAGGAGGAACACCAAUGGCGAAGGCAGCUCGCUGGGACGGUACUGACGCUGAGGCGCGAAAGCGUGGGGAGCAAACAGG
rnacentral:rRNA from 1 species